rnacentral:rRNA from 1 species
ACGCUGAAGGCAUCUAAGCGUGAAGCCCCCCUCAAGAUGAGAUAUCCCAUUCUUAGUGAAGUAAACCCCCUUGAAGACGACGAGGUAGAUAGGGCAGAGGUGGAAGUGUGGUAACACAUGGAGCUGACUGUUACUAAUCGGGUGAGGGCUUGACCAAG